AGAGCCAUCCUUCCUAGUCAGAUCUAUUUGGAGUCAGAGACCCUUCUGAGGGCGGAGGAAGUAAAACUCCAGCCGGGUGGAUAAUCACUCAGCAGCGUAAGGUGUUGCCUUCCUUGAGGCUGUUGGCCCAGGCUGCGGGAUGGCAGCCUGCUCUGCCUUGGCGCUGUCCAGUGAUAACAGCUUUUUGGUUGAGAAGCUCUUUCUAUCAAGUGGUUUGUUUCCCUGCCUGACAGCUGCAGACAUCCCUCACGUGUAGAUUCUAUAAGAAGACCAGGACGUAGAGUAGCAUUGGAGAUAGGAGUGUGUGGGAGUGUGUGCUGGAGGGAGGUAGGAAGGAGAAAGCUCCAGUGUUCUGCACCACGGGGGUCGUGGUGGCUACAGCUCACAAGAACCAUCUAGUUUAUGAAUAACUGGAAGGGAGAAGCUUAAAGGCUACAAAUACAAGGUGAUGCUAAACCAGGUUG
rnacentral:lncRNA from 1 species